rnacentral:rRNA from 1 species
GACGAACGCUGGCGGCGUGCCUAAUACAUGCAAGUAGAACGCACAGUUUAUACCGUAGCUUGCUACACCAUAGACUGUGAGUUGCGAACGGGUGAGUAACGCGUAGGUAACCUACCUGGUAGCGGGGGAUAACUAUUGGAAACGAUAGCUAAUACCGCAUAAUAUUAAUUAUUGCAUGAUAAUUAAUUGAAAGGUGCAAUUGCACCACUACCAGAUGGACCUGCGUUGUAUUAGCUAGUAGGUGAGGUAACGGCUCACCUAGGCGACGAUACAUAGCCGACCUGAGAGGGUGAUCGGCCACACUGGGACGGAGACACGGCCCAGACUCCUACGGGAGGCAGCAGUAGGGAAUCUUCGGAAAUGGACGAAAGUCUGACCGAGCAACGCCGCGUGAGUGAAGAAGGGUGUCGGAUCGGAAAGCUCGGUUGUAAGAGAAGAACGGGUGUGAGAGUGGAAAGUUCACACUGUGACGGUAUCUUACCAGAAAGGGACGGCUAACUACGUG